GGCUGGCUUAUUUUAGUAGCAGCUGGACUUCAUAAGUUUGUGGACGGCGUAGUGAUAGGCGCUUCUUUUAAUUUCUCCUUUUCGAGUGGGCUAUCGUCUUCGAUAGCUAUUAUGUUACACGAAGUCGCUCAUGAAAUUGGUGAUGUUGCUAUACUUAUAGAAAAUGGGUUAAAUAAAUGGCAAGCGCUUUUCGCAAACUUAAUUUCUGGACUUACGGCUUUCUUAGGAGUAUUUGUAGGCUGGCAAAGUGGUGAAAAAAGCGUUCCAUACAUUCUUCUUUUUACUGCUGGUACAUUUCUGUACAUUGCUUUUACCGAAAUGCUGCAUCAGUUAAAUAAUUUCUUGCCGCUAAAUAAAAGUUUAUCUUUUUUUAUAAUUAAUUCUGGAUUCU